rnacentral:rRNA from 1 species
UACGAAGGGGGCUAGCGUUGUUCGGAAUUACUGGGCGUAAAGGGCGCGUAGGCGGUACUUCAAGUCAGGCGUGAAAGCCCCGGGCUCAACCUGGGAACCGCGCUUGAGACUGGAGAACUAGAGUCCGGGAGAGGUGAGUGGAACUGCGAGUGUAGAGGUGAAAUUCGUAGAUAUUCGACAAGAACACCGAGUGGCGAAGGCGGCUCACUGGCCCGGUACUGACGCUGAGGUGCGAAAGCGUGGGGAGCAAACAGG